rnacentral:rRNA from 1 species
AGUGAACGCUGGCGGUAGGCCUAACACAUGCAAGUCGAACGGCAGCACAGUAAGAGCUUGCUCUUACGGGUGGCGAGUGGCGGACGGGUGAGGAAUACAUCGGAAUCUACUUUUUCGUGGGGGAUAACGUAGGGAAACUUACGCUAAUACCGCAUACGACCUACGGGUGACAGCAGGGGAUCUUCGGACCUUGCGCGAUUGAAUGAGCCGAUGUCGGAUUAGCUAGUUGGCGGGGUAAAGGCCCACCAAGGCGACGAUCCGUAGCUGGUCUGAGAGGAUGAUCAGCCACACUGGAACUGAGACACGGUCCAGACUCCUACGGGAGGCAGUAGUGGGGAAUAUUGGACAAUGGGCGCAAGCCUGAUCCAGCCAUACCGCGUGGGUGAAGAAGGCCUUCGGGUUGUAAAGCCCUUUUGUUGGGAAAGAAAAGCAGCAGGUUAAUACCCCGCUGUUCUGACGGUACCCAAAGAAUAAGCACCGGCUAACUUCGUG